rnacentral:rRNA from 1 species
GUGUCAGCAGCCGCGGUAAUACGAAGGGGGCUAGCGUUGCUCGGAAUUACUGGGCGUAAAGGGAGCGUAGGCGGACAGUUUAGUCAGAGGUGAAAGCCCAGGGCUCAACCCUGGAAUUGCCUUUGAUACUGAUUGUCUUGAGUAUGGGAGAGGUGAGUGGAACUCCGAGUGUAGAGGUGAAAUUCGUAGAUAUUCGGAAGAACACCAGUGGCGAAGGCGACUCACUGGCCCAUUACUGACGCUGAGGCUCGAAAGCGUGGGGAGCAAACAGGAUUAGAAACCCCUGUAGUCC